rnacentral:rRNA from 1 species
AUUGAACGCUGGCGGCAGGCCUAACACAUGCAAGUCGAGCGGAUGAAGGGAGCUUGCUCCUGGAUUCAGCGGCGGACGGGUGAGUAAUGCCUAGGAAUCUGCCUGGUAGUGGGGGAUAACGUCCGGAAACGGGCGCUAAUACCGCAUACGUCCUGAGGGAGAAAGUGGGGGAUCUUCGGACCUCACGCUAUCAGAUGAGCCUAGGUCGGAUUAGCUAGUUGGUGGGGUAAAGGCCUACCAAGGCGACGAUCCGUAACUGGUCUGAGAGGAUGAUCAGUCACAAGGGAACUGAGACACGACCCAGAACCCUAGGGAAGGCACGAAGGGGAAAAUUGGAAAAAGGGGCAAAAGCCUGAACAACCCAGGCCGGUGUGUUAAAAAAGUUCUGCGAAUUUUAAAACACUUUAAGUUGGGAGAAAGGGAAUUAAUUUAAAACUUGCCUUUUUGGACGUAACCAAAAAAAAAAACACCGCCAAACUGAGG